UACAGAGACUGCAAGCGUUAUUCGGAUUCACUGGGCGUAAAGGGUGCGCAGGCGGCCAGGUGUGUUAGGCGUGAAAGCCCGGGGCUUAACCCCGGAAUUGCACCUAAAACUACUUGGCUAGAGCAUUGGAGAGGGUAGCGGAAUUCACGGUGUAGCAGUGAAAUGCGUAGAUAUCGUGAGGAACACCAGAGGCGAAGGCGGCUACCUGGACAAUUGCUGACGCUCAGGCACGAAAGCGUGGGGAGCAAACAGG
rnacentral:rRNA from 1 species